UUUGUGUGCAUGUGCUAUGCAUGCUAGAAAUGAAAACAGGGAAUGCAGCUGGCAGCAUCAACGAGUACAAUGCCCAUAGGCUAUUAUGAGGUGCGAAAUGUUGCCACUGCUAGAAUUUACAUUAUGUGUGCAUGGUACAGCUGAUUGUGUAAUUUAGCACUUUCCAGCUACUUACGCAGUUGGAGCAGAUGUCGAUCAUGUUUAUUGUGGUAUGGCACGGCCACCAAGUUCGUGCAUUCUGCAUACCAGGAAACCUGACACGAAGCAACGUAUUGCUGUGAUGGCAGCUAAGUGAGAACGAAUGAGUUUGUCUUCUCUGUACAUUUGUCAAUAUCAUUACACAGGCUUGUUAAGUGCAUUCAAGCGGCUUUAGCAAUGCACUUGCAGCUACAGAGCCAGUAAAGGCAGCCAAUUUCAUCAUCAGAGUUCACUCUGCAAAUCCCACUUUCCAUAAAGGGCAUUGUUUUGUGAUAGCUUAAGGUCAAAACUUGCUCAAUUAAACACUUCUUGGUGUCUGACAUUACAUGAAUUAUGAUAAUUGUUAUAUCUCAUGUGAAAUUAUGCCAUUGUUUUUUUUUCAUAUUCUUACUUUGCAUACACACUUUACGACUGCACCCUCCCCAACCGAAUCUUUACUAGUGCUACAUUCUGUUAUGGGUGAAAACAAUUAUUGAACUAAAAACCAGGCCAAGGAAAGCAGUAUGAUGCCCUGUAAUGUAGGAGGAUGCCGCUAUUGCAGUGUUUAGUCUAGAGCUGAAUUUAAUAAGAAAGGGCAGCAAUGUAGGUCAUCUGUGGAUAUUUGCAGACCAUAAUUGUGUUGUGGUCAUUUUGUUAUCGCAGGAAGCAUCUUCAAAAAGCAGUGCUACAAGGAUGUGAGCAGCAGUUUCCCUUUAACGAACGGGUCAAAUUCAUGGAAGCCACGUGCCUGCUGCUUCUGGCCUACACAAACAUGCAGCCACCAUAGUAAAGUUCUUGCAAAGACAUUCUACACGAACUUGCCCAAAGGCGGAAGGAAGGCACGCACAGAUGGACGCACAGAAAUCAUGGGGCUGCCGUAGAAGCUGUGAAUGAGCAUUAACCUACGUACAGAAAGGAGCGAAGUGGAGCUGUCCAUGGGCCGUGCACACAAUUUCAUAAGCAGGCUUGCAACACUUUUGACAAAUAUGUUCCUGAAUACAUCUGCCAAAGUGGCAUUUAAAGAAGCA